AAGUCGUAACAAGGUUUCCGUAGGUGAACCUGCGGAAGGAUCAUUACAAAGAAAAGCAAGCUUUUAUUACCAUUCGUUCAUGAAUGCUAGUAAUUUCUUGCCUUUUUUUCAAUACACCAUUUAUAUCUUUUACCUUAGUUGCUUUGGCAAAUGUCUUUAAUGUUUACAUUACUGGUAUUUGUCAUUGGAAUUAUCCAAAACUCAUUUGCAAUCCAACAAUUGGAAUAAUCUCAUGUCUGAUUUUUAAUGCUUUUAAUAGUAUAUUUAAAACUUUCAACAAUGGAUCUCUUGGUUCUG
rnacentral:misc_RNA from 1 species